AAAAUGAAAUAUACAUGUAGUUGACAUUAAAAUGUAAACAUCCUAAUACAACAUUAUAAUUUAACUUAACUUAACGGACACAAAACCAAACAAAAAAUUAACAAGUUUGUAAAAACACAAUAUAGCUUUCUGUACAAGGCACAAAAUGCCAUGAGUAAAAAAAAGAAGAGACAAAAGAUGGAAUUGACUACGUACAUGUGACUUGUUGGAUGUUGACUGAAGCAUAAUGGUGACAGAAACAAAAUUUGAAGUCUGUUAUCUGCACCAUAUGCGACCUCUCACGCAAAAAUGUACACUAAUAGGUAUCCGUUCAAACAUCUAAAAACCAUUUGCUUGCCAUUUGCUAUCCAUUUGUCAUCCAUUCAUGAUCAAUAGGAUGCCAUUUGAACAGAUUGGGUCAUUCAUUCAGAAAACUUUCCAGCCGUUCAAAUGGCUGCUGCUAUCCAUUUGAAAAAAACUCUUCACCCAUUCAAACAGAUGAAGUUAUCCAUUCAAAAAAAAUAUUCAUUUGUUCAAAAAACUGAGGUUAUCCAUUCAAAUUCAAAUGGCUAAGGCUACCUGUUCAAAAAAAAAAUAGUGAUCUGUUCAAAUAGCUGAAGUUAUCCAUUCAAAAAAUAGUCAUCCGUUCAAACAGCUAAGAAAUUUUCCAACAAAUAAAUUGUCUAACAGUAUGUAGUAGCCCUGAUGACAUGACACUAUAAUGUUACAAGUUCAUCAGUAUGAUGAGAACUCAAAAAAGGAGGUUGCUCCAAAAAGGUUACUUUUUUGUCUUCCCCCAUAGCAAGUAAACAUUCAACUUUUCCACUCACGAAGUUUCAGCCACUGAAGUACCUGCUAUCCUGAACAAAUUUAUCUCAAAUGAGGCAACUUCAGAGACCCCUACUUUGAAAGUGUACUUGGCAGCCAGGCCGUGUUUAUGUGACGUCAUUCCAUCCAACUCACAUUGAUGGAAAGAAAAAACCUUGCAACUGACUUUGCAUCCUUUACAGGGUCAGCAAAAUAUUCAAAGGCUUGUUGCAAGCCAUUUGGACAAAAUAUCUUACACAAAAUGACAUCACAAAAAUACAGCCUGAAAUGUUGGUAACAAUGUUGAAUUUUGGGCCUCUUAUUGGAGACAAAUUAUUAGCAUUGACAAAAAAUAUCCAUUCUUUGUAGUGACCUUCUCCUUUAAGUAAUCUUCUGUGACUAUAUGUUUUAACUUAAUUCUUUCUUGCAUACCAAAAUUGAAAACAGACAAAAACUACUCAUAAUUUAGAUAAACAACAAUUCAGUAAACCUUAAUAUAAUUUAUUACUAAUUUGACUCCAGCCACAAAAGGCUUGUUGCUAUGUUGAAAAAUUAUAGAAGUUCAGCAGUUUGCAACACAUCACACUGAACUGUGAAAAAUGCUCACAAUGUAACUAAUUAAAUUGUCAUACCAGAUUUUCUUACUAUCGAUCAGCUACAUUAAAACUAUUAUAUCUACAAGUUCCCUACGGAUUCUUCCUCCUAAGAAAAUGCCCAACAGUCCAUUAUUUCAAUCCUACCCAUACACCUUACUAUGAAACUUGUUCACAGGCUAACAUCAGAUGGGAUGUUUAUUCAUCUUUAAUACAAGCCAAUACAGGGCUUCAAAUAACGGCCGGUAAACGGACAAUGUCCAGUUAAAAAUAGAUUUUAUCUGGUCAAAUCCUUAGAUGGCCAGAUAAUUUGUCCAGUCGUUUACGCUGGUAAGGGAAAAAUUUAGAGCAGUCAAGUUUUAAAUAUUUAAGGUUCAAUAUUAUUGGCAUUUGUUAAAAAGGAGGGGGAAAAGGCGAAUACUUAACUACCAGUCCAAGAACUUUUAAUAAAUGAUUCAUAAUAGUCAUAAAAUUUCCGGCUAUUGUUGCAACUUUUAGCACAAAUGUGAUACUGAUUUUGCUGUACCAGAAGUUCCACUUUUCUUGCAUUGAGAUCAUUGCUCAAGUACAAUAAAUGCUUUGAAAAUUUACUUGUUUCAUAUUUAAACAUCAUAUGAAGGAAGAGGAGGCACUUUUAUAGUAAUAAGAUGUAAUUGAAGUUUGUCCAACCAAAAAUGGGAUAUGUCCAACGUAAAAUACACUGUAGGUUUGACCAGACAAUUUGACCUGCACCAGCCGGGAAAUUAUUUGUAGCCCUGCAAUAUUUAAUUUUAAAACAAAAAUAAAGCCUUAUGUAAGUUCAACAUAAACUUUUUGUAGUAUAAGUUCUGAAAAUAUAUUCUUAUCCUAGUGUUCUGCUAUUUAAAAUAUUAUUUCCAUUUCCCAGUGACUUCCUUUUUACUAUGAACUCAACAAUAAGGCAUUCAGUACUACCAUAAAACAUAGUGCAUUUGACAAUAUUUACUCUUUUUUAGUAGCUAUAAAUAAAUAAAUGCAGAAUCUUGUAUCCAUUAUAUAGGUGAGUAGACAAAUUUACCACGAUCUUAAAGAACAAAUGUUACACUGGCAACAGAUUGCUGACAGUGCUGAAACAGAUGAGGUAAAUUAAAGAGUCCAACGAUUACUAUUCAUGCAAACCAUAACUUUUAUAAGUACAGUUGAACCCUGUUAAUUAGAACUCACUUACAUGUAUUUCAAAUCCCCCAUUAUUUUGCAUUCAAAACAAUUUCCCUUGGAUCAACCCUUCAAGCCAACCCUUUGUCAUUUCCCCUGAGAGUUUAAAAUAAAGGAGUUUAACUUAUUAUAUAAUUUCCAGAGGUGAAUAUAACAAUUGGACAAAAUGAUUGGUCAAAAACCUUAGCUUAUAUGAUACUAUAUUCACCGCACUGGGCGGUGAAUAUAACAUUUUCGAACCUGAUUACUAAGCUUGCCACCUUUACAAUCUCAGGAAAUACACAUGGUCAUCUCAGUAAGUAAACAUGAACAAAAUUUUAAUUUUCACUGUAUUCGAGAGACAUCACUCCAAGUCCAAGAUAUUUGAAAGAAUGAAUCUUUCCAAGAACUCCCAUUCAAGAUAUUUAAAAAUUGUAAGCACAAUGGCUACAUUGAUCGCCAGCAGGUAAGAUCGAUUGACCAAAAUUUAUUUUUCUUCAAACUAAAGCUACUCAUUUUUAACCAAUAAUGACAACAGUGAAUGAAAUCAACAAUGAUAAAACAAAGAUAUCAGAUGAAUUUAUUUUGCGCAGUGUUUUGCUCGUUUGUUUUACUGCUGAACUUGAUGAGUAAAUUGAUUCACAAUCGAUGGACAUGUAAGCUUAGUAUUAAAACUACUGUAUACAACUUCAUAUGUGUACAUGCAAACAAACAAUUGGGUCUGUGUUUUUAUGUGGUAGUCUAUCAUUCUGUAAUCUUUGAUGUUCACCUCUGAAAAUUAUCCCAAAAAAAUUAUUCAACUUCAACAAAUAAUAUUGUUAAAGAUGAUUUCCAGUCCAUACUGCAGGGUCUCAGCUCCCCACAACCUCAUUCUCAAAAUCUCUCAUCUUACCACCCCCUGAAGCCAACGAACAGACACCCUGGUUGGGUCUGGUCACAUGUCUCUCAGAAUCUGGGAGAUGACAAUUAAAUUAUUGAAGGGAUGAACGGCCUAGGAGGAAUUUUGUCUAUACUUAGCGUACAGGAGUGCAAGAUGUGUUGUCACCAAAGUAAACCUGGAACGAUAUGAUAUUCUGCAGCAAUGUCCAGCAGUAAUAUUCUACAAAUGCUGAGGAAAACUUAUCCAUCAUCUGAUAGUAGAAAUUCAAGUUGCUGAAGUUUAUGUAGCUCAGUGAAGGAUGUUACAUCAAAAUUUGUAAAAAUCUCCUCAAGAAGACAAAUGGAGAAUUGCACACAGCAGCCGAGGCUGUGUAUGGAAGAUCUUUAACUCAUCUUUGGCCCAGAAUGAAGUGCAAGUCUUACGAAUGGCGAUUAAAUAAUUAUAGAGUUUUAAGGCCUUUUAAUUCACCACAGAAAGCCAAAGUCACUUCAACUUUCAGGAUUCUGUUUUUCUUUGUGACUACCUUGUAAAAAUAUUGAGACCUCAUUGUAAAAACUGUCGAGACUUUUUCAGCCUCUUCACAGACAGGAGCUGUUGAAUUCAAACUGUUCCAAAAGUAGCAUUAUCGAAAUUUGACUGCUAAUAAAUGUCGAAGGAAAUAAAAUUUUCUCAUCUAAUUAUUAUCUGCAGUGGUAAGUUUUGUCAGUAUCGAGACACCUUAUCACCUUAAGUAUACAUGUGUGUUGUUAUGUUUAAUGAAAUGUUAUCCCUUUACAGUUCUGCAUGAUUUUGGGCGUGAUUUUAUCAGGAUGCUCAUGUUUUGUGCUACUAAUUUUGAAACAAGAAAAGAACAUUGAUGUAUGCUUUCAGAAAAUGCUGUCUUGUUUGUCAAAUUCACAGCAAAAAGUAAACAUGAUACGUCCACUAUGAAAUUCUGACCUUGUUUCUGAAAAGUGUUAGUGUCUGUCUUCCUUGAGGAAGACAAAGUUACUAGUUCGGCCAAUUUCAUUUUGUUUACUAGCCAAAUUUAAAGUGGCUAGUGGAAAUCAGAAACCUACUAGCCAAAACUAAAUUUCCACUAGUCUAUGGCUUGUUGGCUACUGUUAGUGUCGAGCCCUUUAUAUAGUGAAUUGUGACCCUGCAGGCCCAACUAUUUGAUUAUAACUGUUUGCAAGCACAGUACAUUGCACAAAUAUCAUAUUUAUCUUCAUCCAGCUUUCCUUCAAAGACUGCCAUAGUUUUACUUUGAGAAAGCUAUCCAUUUUCCUAGAGACAUUCUUAUGUUUUUUGCAUCAAUUUUGAUUGAGUGCAUUCAAAGGAGAAAGUCAUCAAUUACUACAUAAUGAAAUUGCAUCUGCUCAACAUCCUCAGUUGAAAUAUGACUGACUUUCCAUAAAUCUGGUGGGUAAGACAGCAACGCUGAACAUCGUGACCGUGUUAAAUUGCCUUGAGACAGACUUCAUUAACCUUUAGAUAAACAUUGGAAUAGACAUUAUUCGAAAUUUCAGCCUGAAGACUAAGUACUGUUAAACACCGCAGGUAACUGCAGUCGCAGCUCGAUACUUUGAAUUUGACAAAGCUCAAUGUGACAAAUUGCUGAUUAUAGAGGACUCUUCCCUGAUGUUCUCAAUUGUCAAAGUGACAUGUGACCAGACCCAACUAGGGUCUCUCCUUGCUCACUCCAGGGGGUGGUAAGAUGAGAGACCCUGGAAAUGAAGUUGAGCUCCCUAAUGUUUAUAAACAUAAAAAUUCUCACUCAAUGGAAUACAAAUCAAUGUUAUUCGUUACAAACCAUAUACCUUAUCUUUUAGGCCUUUCAAAUUCUUUUUUAAACUGCUUCAUUGAUUUUUACAGCUGCAAAAUUAUUUCAUCAACUGAUAUCAGAAAGAACAAAACAUAAUGGUGGUUGAGGUGAAACUUUGAAUUUAUUUCAUGUAAGUAGUAACAAAAUCUUCACAUUUGUGACGUCAUAUAUCAAACAAAACAAAUCACAUAAACAAACUCUAAAGAGUAUGCAGACUCAAACUGGAAAUCACCUUUAAGUAUAAAUUUAUAUAAAUACAACAAAAGUUCCCAACAAUUCACUGCAAUGUAAAAUCAAAAUUUACCAUGCAUUUCUAGUUAACAUAUAAACACAAUAUUAUCUUUGACUCAACAAAACUUGUUUCUAUGUUAGGAAUUUACUGGAUAAAAAUAUACAAGACCUUAAAUGAACAUACAGGUAAAUUAUUUAAUAGAUCCUUAAAGAUUUUUCUCUUUUUUUAUACAUUACAAAUGACAAAUCACCAGAAAAAUCUACAAAAUAGUUGAUAUUUUAACUAGUAUCAAAGUUUUUAGUUUGGCCUAUUAUGUUAACUACCAACAUCUGCUGCAAUUCAAUUCCAAUAAAAAAAAAAAA
rnacentral:lncRNA from 1 species